GAAUGAAGAACGUAGCGAAAUUCGAUAAGUAGUGUGAAUUGCAGAAUUCAGUGAAUCAUCGAAUCUUUGAACGCACAUUGCGCCCCUUGGUAUUCCAUGGGGCAUGCCUGUUCGAGCGUCAUUUGUACCUUCAAGCUCUGCUUGGUGUUGGGUGUUUGUCUCGCCUCUGCGUGUAGACUCGCCUCAAAACAAUUGGCAGCCGGCGUAUUGAUUUCGGAGCGCAGUACAUCUCGCGCUUUGCACUCAUAACGACGACGUCCAAAAGUACAUUUUUACACUCUUGACCUCGGAUCAGGGAGGGAUACCCGCUGAACUUAAGCAUAUCAAUAAGCGGAGGA
rnacentral:misc_RNA from 1 species